AAGAGCAAUGAGCGGGGAGUCAGGAUGUCUGGACACUGGUCUAAUGACUACUAUUCAUUUGCUGUGUGACCUUCGGCAAACCAAUGCCCUUCUCUGUUUCUUCAUUCACCAAAGGAGGAUGUCAGUUAGACCAGCUUCUUUCUUGAUCAGGUCCUGAGAUGCACUUCUUCUACGGCUUUUCCAACGAGCCAAGUCCUAGAAAGGAGGAAAAACAACAAAAAGAUGCUAUCCUUCAGAAAUUCACAUUACCAAAUACAUUCCACUCCUCUCCUCAAGAGCUUUUCACUUCAGUCACCAUCCCAACUCGUUUGUGAGGCACCUCUUUGACUCAUGAACUAACCUUUUCUGUGGAUGAACUGUUCUCUGAAAGUUCAACUCAACAUUCUGAAGCCUUUCUAAUUUGAGAGCUCUUCAGUACUACCUUUUUCUUGUUUCAGUCUUUUAAAUGUAUUUCUGGAAAACUGCAUGACAGACAUGCACUAAUCUAGUUGUGACUUGAAGGUAUCAAAAUGUUUCUGAAAACUGAAUCCAAGCAGUUAACUCUUCCUAUCAGUUUCUUUUUUUUUCUUUCUGACAGAUAAAAAGGGAUAAAGACUUAUUUUGACCGUG